rnacentral:rRNA from 1 species
GACGAACGCUGGCGGCGUGCCUAAUACAUGCAAGUAGAACGAGUUGCGAACGGGUGAGUAACGCGUGGUAACCUGCCUAAUAGCGGGGGAUAACUAUUGGAAACGAUAGCUAAUACCGCAUACUGUGAGAUGGACCUGCGUUGUAUUAGCUAGUUGGUGAGGUAAAGGCUCACCUAGGCGACGAUCCCUAGCUGGUCUGAGAGGAUGACCAUCCACACUGGAACUGAUACACGGUCCAGACUCCUACGGGAGGCAUCAGUGGGUAAUAUUGCACAAUGGGCGCAAGCCUGAUACAGCCAUGCCGCGUGUAUGAAGAGGGCCUUCGGGUUGGAAAGUACUUUCAGCGAGGAGGCGUUACUCGCAGAAGAAGCACCGGCUAACUCCGUGCCAGCAGCCGCGGUAAUAC